rnacentral:tRNA from 1 species
GAGCCCAUGGCUCAAUGGUAGAGCGUAAGACUCCUAUACAUAAGGUCGCGGGUUCGAAUCCCAUGUCCUCG